CAAACACAUGUCACCUCAAUCUCACAACCUCCAUUGGAAGAAGGGCAGCAUCGAGAAGGAUAAAGAAGAUUAACCCAGAAAAUGGUUACUGACUUGGAGGGACUCCAGGCAGUUUUCAGUCCCAACACUUGCCCCUCUGAGUGACAGUGAUGUCACCUUCCCGCUGUCCCACUCUAUCUCUGCUUUUAAUAUUCGCAAAGUUCACAGGCCUUCCGCAACCCUCCAGGACAGGUACACAGCUCCUCACCUGUGCUUUCAAGGCACAAGCCAUAUCCACCUGCUGCCACACGCACAGCUGGUGAAGGCAUAGGGUGAGUUCAAAUUUCAAGGUUUUAAUGACAGGACCCUGGGCAAAUUCCUUUACCUCUCACUAUCUUAAUUUCCUCUUCUCUAUAAUGGUGUCUAAAUCACAAGGUGUUUGAAAGGAUUAGACGAGUGAACAUAUGUAAAGCACUUACAAUGGCGCCUGGCACAUAAGAAGUGUUCAAUAAAUUUGAGCAAGCAGUAUCAUUAAAAUCUCUUUCAUUCCAUGUUGUGACUGCAUAGUAUAGUAUUCCUUAGAACUGAUGAUGUAGCUUUAAUCAAUCCAAAUAAAGCACAAUUAGUUACAGAUUUUUACUUAUCAUCAUCUGCUGUAAAGAUACUUUCACAGAGAUCUCAACCAAGAAGUAGAAACUGCACUUUAAAAUUUUUGAAAGCUUAAUGGCAGAUUUCCCUCUCAAAAGGUUUUCCCAAUUCACCUUUUAUAUGAGGGAGUACAAAUGUUCCUGAACCUCUAGACUGGCCAAAUAAGACAUAAUUCCUUUUUUUUUUUUCUUAAGAAAAUCUUCAACAAUCUAAGUGAAAUAAAUAAAUAGAAAGCUUUUAUUAACGUUUGUACACAUUUAGUUAUUAAAUUAUUUUCUUCAUAAAUUUACUUUCCAUUAUUGUGACGCUCCUAUUCUUUCUUUUACUCAUAUUCCGUUUGGGUCUUACUUUAUUUUACUAAUUUUAAUUAAGAAUUAGAGAUAUUAAACCUUUACCUAAUGUUUCUAAGUACAUCCCAUCAAUUCAAAUAUUGCAAAUAUAUAGCUGUGAAUGCCUGAGGGAAAAGGAAUAUGAGAAAGUGAAAAGAGGUAGUUUGUAAACAGGGUAGUAGUGUAAAUUAUCUUUCUCUAUUCCAAAUUUCCACAAUUUUUCAAAGAUUGCUUUGUGAAAUACUAAAGAUGAUAAAAUAAACCAAACAAAAUGCACAGUCUGGCACACAACAUGCACUCAAGGUGUGUCGUGUUCAUUAACCUUUCCAAGGAAGAGAAAAAAGGUGUGUCCAAUCUUUGAGAAAUAAAAUCCUUUAGGAGACAGAAAGCCGUGCCUUACUUACCUGAAACUCGGUCAUUUUCUCCCACUCCUUCCGGGGAAGGUCAGAGUCCUGAGAAGGCAUAACUGGGGAAGGACAAAGAAGCCACGAGAUGCAGGCCAGGGCUGUCAGAAGCCCACGUGGAUCUUUGCAGAAAUUACAUGUGAGCACUCAUACUCGCAGGCAGAGGUGCUCACAUACAGCUCGGGGAGCAGAGCUUGGAGUAGACUGCAGCUACUAGCAGGACUGUCAGCCAGUGGCCACUGGACAGUGAACAACCAGCACAGCCAAACACAGUAGCCCUACCAUAAAGACUUCUGAUCCUACCAUUAAAAAAAUGAAAAGACAAUCUAUGGACUGGAAUAAGAUAUUUGCAAAUUAUGUUACUGAAGGGAUUAAUUUCCAAAAUAUACCAACAGCUCAUACAGCUUAAUACCAAAAGAGCAAACAACCCAAUCAAAAAAUGGGCAGAAGACCUAAAUAGGCAUCUCCAAAGAAGACAUACAGAUGGCCAAAAGGCACACGAAGAGAUGCUCAACAUCACUAAUGAUUAGAGAAAUGCAAAUCAAAACUACAAUGAGGUAUCACCUCACAUCAGUCAGAAUGGCCAUCAUUAAAGUCUACGAUUAACAAAUGCUGGAGAGAGUAUGGAGAAAAGGGAACCCUCCUGCACUGUUGGUGCCAGUGUAAACUGGUACAGCCACUAUGGACAACAGCAUGGAAGUUCCUUAAAAAACUAAAAAUAGAGCUACCAUAGGAUCCAGCAAUCUUCCUCCUGGGCAUAUAUCCAGAGAAAACUCUAAUUCAAAAAGACACAUGCACAAUGCUCAUAAGUAAUUUUUGUAAUAAGAAAAAAUGGCCCAAUAAAAAUUACAUAAAACAUGGGACUUCACUGGUGGCACAGUGGAUAAGACUCCGUGCUCCCAAUGCAGGGGGCCCAGGUUCGAUCCCUGGUCAGGGAGCUAGAUCCCACACGCAUGCCAUGACUAAGAGUUUGCAUGCCACAACUAAGAAGCCCAUGUGCUGCAACUAAGGAGCCUGUGUGCUGCAACUAAGGAGCCUGUGUGCUGCAACUAAGGAGCUGGCAAGCCACAACUAAGGAGCCUGCCUGCUGCAACUAACACCCCAUGCAAGCAAAUAAAUAAAUAAAUAUUUUUAAAAAAAUGUCCAUCAACAUAGGAAUGGAUAAAGAAGAUGUGGUACAUGUAUACAAUGGAAUAUUACUCUCCCAUAAAAAAGAAUGAAAUAGUGCCAUUUGCAGAGAUGUGGAUAAAUCUAGAGACUGUCAUACAGAGUGAAGUAAGUCAGAAAGAGAAAAACAAAUAUUGUAUAGUAUCGCUUCUAUGUGGAAUCUAGAAAAAUGGUAGAUGAACUUAUUUGCAAAGCAGAAAUAGAGACACAUGUUGAGAACAAACUUAUGGAUACCAAGGGGGGAAGAGGGGGGUGGGAUGAAUUGGGAGAUUCGGGUUGACACAUAUACACUAUUACGUAUAAAAGAGAUAACUAAUGAGAACCUACUGUACAGCACCAGGAAACUCUACUCAAUGACCUGUGGUGACCUAAAUGGGAAGGAAAUCUAAAAAAGAGGGGACAUAUGUAUACGUAUGGCUGAUUCACUUUGCUGUACAGCAGAAACUAACAACAUUGUAAAGCAACUAUACUCCAAUAAAAUUUUUU